AUCAGGGCUGUGCCCACUGGGGGCUCAUGGGGGAUUAUAAAUUAACCCUUGUGUUAGCAGUUUGCUCUAGGCUUGUUCUGUGAGGAGGUGAUUGCUGCAGUGCUGGGAGCCUCAAGCUGUUGCUUCCAGGGACUUGAGGCUCCAGCAGCACUCUGCAACCCUGUCAGCCAUCCAGCAGAAUUCAGCAAGCUGCCCGAUGUCUCUAUCUGUGCUGCAGUGUAUUUUGAAUGGAUCUCAACACAGCAAAUCUUUUAUGAAAGGACUUUGUGAUGAUGUGAGUCAGUGCCACGUGAGAGGAAGGGGACAGCCUGUGCUCUGAUGCUCUAAGAGGAAUCUUCGAGCUCUUAUGAAAACAGAGGAGAACACAUCUGCCCUUCAGCCCCGACUCACCCAAACCCUGUGUGAACCAUCUGGAUGUCAUGUCCCCAGCCACUUGGAGACCACAACAUACUCACCCCAAUCUCUCACACCCCCCAGUACGAGCCUCUCCUAAUCAGUAGGCGCUGUCUCACCAGAGCCCCUUUCUGCAGAGAAGUGAUAAGCCGUGCUUGGCUCCUGCUCCCCCACCCCUGCUGGUUCCUGUUUGCUGCCAUCUCAUCAGCAGGCACCAAAAAGCCCCACUUCCAUCCCUGCUGGGCUGCCCUCCCUGCCCUGCUCCGAAAUGCUGCCCGAAUGUCAUGGAAACAGUGCAUAGAGCUGCCAUGCACAGGAAGGGAGAGGGGAGCAAGGUAA
rnacentral:lncRNA from 1 species